CACCGAUCUCCCACUUUCCACAGGUUUGGCUGGUGCUGGGGACCCCAGGGCUCCGAGCUCGGCCAGGGCAGCCCAGCCCCUCCUGUCCUUUCUGAAGUUCCUGCCUGCCGUGGAGCUCAUUUGCAUGUGACCUGCUGCCUUUUGAAGUUACAACUCCUCCUCACUGUUAAGAUCCUCCAGUGACAGAAUUGAACUUGUGACCUCACGCCUGCCAGCACUUGAAAAAGGUAACUGGAGAAUGCCUGCCCAGCCGCACAGCCAGUGAGAGGGGCCCAGCAUUGCUUUACCUUUAAGUGAUUUCCAGCUUGGGAGCAAGACCCGUGGGGAGCCCUGAAAAUCCAGGAAUUCAGCUGUGAAUCCAUCAGGACCUGGCUUUUCUUCAU